rnacentral:tRNA from 1 species
UGGCAGGAAACGAUAAAGUAACGUGAGCGGUUUCGGCCCGCUUUUUGGUGUAGAGUUCGGGCAUCCCUGUUAG